GGGAGCGGCAGGAUGGCUACGGGACAAAAGUUCUGAGGAAAGUCUCCCCACCAUCUUUCGAAUCUGCGGACACCUGUAAAGGGUGUGCGGCGAGAGCCGGGGCAAUGGCACAGAAACGAUAACCUUGUCAUGUAUUGCAAUGAUACGAAAAAGUUGAGGUCUCAUGACGGAAGGAUGGAACGGCGAAUCCCCGCAGGUGCAAGUUGUUUGGGAUUACGGUGUAUGAUUCUGAAAGCACCGCCUGUUAAAAAUACGCAUAGCCGAAUGCCAUCGAUUGCAGUGACUAAAGAGUUACGUCCGUUAAAAGAAAACGGAUUAAGCAAUAACAGAAGGGAGCUUACUCGCCGGACCC
rnacentral:RNase_P_RNA from 1 species